ensembl:lncRNA
GAAAAAGGAAAAUGCCAGUGUUUGAUCACAUCACCGGGAAAUAUGAAAGAAAAUAUAUCUGCACUAAACAGCUUUGCUGUCCAGCUCAGGUGCUGAGAUACCAUACAGAUGUGGGCUGGAAUGGCUUUGGUAUUCAGGAGAAACCAAACAAAGUGAAGGAUAUGUAUAGUGCACUGUUUCCUAAAUAUCUGAUAAAUCCUGCUGUCUCACUCACAGCGAGGUAAAACAACACUGCUGGACCGCUUGCUGAGGUGGAGACUGGAGGGCAGAGGGCUGCAGCACAAAGCCUUCCAGUGCUGUGAAUCCAGUAGCAGCUAUAGAAGGAAAGGUUUUCGACAUGAGAUACCACAAAAUGUACACCCAGAGUGAAUCCCC